AGAGUUUGAUCCUGGCUCAGGAUGAACGCUGGCGGCGUGCCUAAUACAUGCAAGUCGAGCGAACGGACGAGAAGCUUGCUUCUCUGAUGUUAGCGGCGGACGGGUGAGUAACACGUGGAUAACCUACCUAUAAGACUGGGAUAACUUCGGGAAACCGGAGCUAAUACCGGAUAAUAUUUUGAACCGCAUGGUUCAAAAGUGAAAGACGGUCUUGCUGUCACUUAUAGAUGGAUCCGCGCUGCAUUAGCUAGUUGGUAAGGUAACGGCUUACCAAGGCAACGAUGCAUAGCCGACCUGAGAGGGUGAUCGGCCACACUGGAACUGAGACACGGUCCAGACUCCUACGGGAGGCAGCAGUAGGGAAUCUUCCGCAAUGGGCGAAAGCCUGACGGAGCAACGCCGCGUGAGUGAUGAAGGUCUUCGGAUCGUAAAACUCUGUUAUUAGGGAAGAACAUAUGUGUAAGUAACUGUGCACAUCUUGACGGUACCUAAUCAGAAAGCCACGGCUAACUACGUGCCAGCAGCCGCGGUAAUACGUAGGUGGCAAGCGUUAUCCGGAAUUAUUGGGCGUAAAGCGCGCGUAGGCGGUUUUUUAAGUCUGAUGUGAAAGCCCACGGCUCAACCGUGGAGGGUCAUUGGAAACUGGAAAACUUGAGUGCAGAAGAGGAAAGUGGAAUUCCAUGUGUAGCGGUGAAAUGCGCAGAGAUAUGGAGGAACACCAGUGGCGAAGGCGACUUUCUGGUCUGUAACUGACGCUGAUGUGCGAAAGCGUGGGGAUCAAACAGGAUUAGAUACCCUGGUAGUCCACGCCGUAAACGAUGAGUGCUAAGUGUUAGGGGGUUUCCGCCCCUUAGUGCUGCAGCUAACGCAUUAAGCACUCCGCCUGGGGAGUACGACCGCAAGGUUGAAACUCAAAGGAAUUGACGGGGACCCGCACAAGCGGUGGAGCAUGUGGUUUAAUUCGAAGCAACGCGAAGAACCUUACCAAAUCUUGACAUCCUUUGACAACUCUAGAGAUAGAGCCUUCCCCUUCGGGGGACAAAGUGACAGGUGGUGCAUGGUUGUCGUCAGCUCGUGUCGUGAGAUGUUGGGUUAAGUCCCGCAACGAGCGCAACCCUUAAACUUAGUUGCCAUCAUUAAGUUGGGCACUCUAAGUUGACUGCCGGUGACAAACCGGAGGAAGGUGGGGAUGACGUCAAAUCAUCAUGCCCCUUAUGAUUUGGGCUACACACGUGCUACAAUGGACAAUACAAAGGGUAGCGAAACCGCGAGGUCAAGCAAAUCCCAUAAAGUUGUUCUCAGUUCGGAUUGUAGUCUGCAACUCGACUACAUGAAGCUGGAAUCGCUAGUAAUCGUAGAUCAGCAUGCUACGGUGAAUACGUUCCCGGGUCUUGUACACACCGCCCGUCACACCACGAGAGUUUGUAACACCCGAAGCCGGUGGAGUAACCUUUUAGGAGCUAGCCGUCGAAGGUGGGACAAAUGAUUGGGGUGAAGUCGUAACAAGGUAGCCGUAUCGGAAGGUGCGGCUGGAUCACCU
rnacentral:rRNA from 1 species